GCCAGGCAGAGUGGUACGUGCCUAUAGUCCCAGCUACUCAGGAGGCUGAGGUGGGAGGAUCGCUUGAGCCCGGGAGUUCUGGGCUGUAGUGCGCUAUGCUAAUAGGGUGUCCACACUAAGUUUGGCAUCAAUAUGGUGACCUCCGGGGAGCGGAGGACCACCAGGUUGCCUAAGGAGGGGUGAACUGGUCCAGGUCAGAAACAGAGCAGGUCAAAACUCCUGUGUUGAUCAGUAGUGGGAUCGAACCUGUGAAUAGCCACUGCACUCCAGCCUGGGCAACAUAGCAAAACACGAUCUCU
rnacentral:SRP_RNA from 1 species